GAACAAGCGAAAGAAAUUGCUUAACUGUUUUAUACAAAAAGAACUUAAUAGGAACUUGAUUUGAACGUCUCAUAUCACAGUGCUUUGCUCGUAUAGACAUGUUUCGGCUAUAUGGGUUUAUUGUUGACAAAAUUCAAGGGAUGAUGAUUCUGAAAUAAAAGAAAAAGGAGUGUUUUUAAUAUAUGAUUGAAUUUCGAAACUUCUCCUCAAAAAUAAAAUAGAAAUUACGUUAGUUCAAUCUGUAAAAUAUCUGCCUUGGUUUAGGAUCGUUGUAGAUGACAUUAGAUUCUAUAUAUAAAAAUAACUAAUUUGUAUGAUCUUUUGGCAACAGAUCUUCCAAUUGCGAGAAAGGCAUCACUCCAUCGGUUCUUCGAGAAGAGGAAGGAUCGGAUCAAUGCCAAGGCUCCAUAUCAAGUGAAUAAAGUGAAAGACUCUUCUGCGACUCCGUUUACCACACCAAAGGAGGAGGAGAACCAGCCAUGGCUUGGACUCAAGCCCAGCCUGAGUUCAGAAAGUGGUAGAUGAAGCUUUUGUAGGCAUGCCUUAAAGCUCACAUAGCUCUGUGAUUCAUUCUUAUUUCAGAUGCUGACUCUAGUUUGGCUUUCAUUUUUGUGCCCCUGAGAGCUUGAGGCCAUGGAUAUAUAUGUAAUUUCCUUCCUAUUGGAAACAAUAUAAAUUGCAACCAUUUAUGGGUAGAUAUUUUGUGGGUCUUGUUGCUAACGUAUGGUAGCUCUUCAUGGCUACCAUGUAGAGAUAAAUAGGUGAUAUAUUAUGUGUAUCUGUUUAUCGUUAGAAUCAUAUAUUUCUAUGUUUAUACACUGUACCUUUGUAUUUGGCAUUUA